GGCAGUUCUCGGGUGAUGGACCCCGGAAUUGGGCUCCCUCCUCUGGUUCCAGGUGCUUCACCUGAGAAUCGCA
rfam:Myotis davidii contig322796, whole genome shotgun sequence.